CUACGGGUUGCUCCAGUAAGGAAUAUUGCGCAAUGGAGGCAACUCUGACGCAGCCAUGCCGCGUGCAGGAAGAAGGCCUUAUGGGUCGUAAACUGCUUUUAUUUAGGAAUAAACCCUCGCUCGUGAGCGAGGCUGAAGGUACUGAAUGAAUAAGCACCGGCUAACUCCGUGCCAGCAGCCGCGGUAAUACGGAGGGUGCAAGCGUUAUCCGGAUUUAUUGGGUUUAAAGGGUGCGCAGGCGGGCUAUUAAGUCAGUGGCGAAAUCCCGGGGCUCAACUCCGGAACUGCCAUUGAUACUGAUAGUCUUGAGUUUGGUUGAAGUGGGCGGAAUGUAGCAUGUAGCGGUGAAAUGCAUAGAUAUGCUACAGAACACCAAUCGCGAAGGCAGCUCACUAAGCCAAAACUGACGCUCAUGCACGAAAGCGUGGGGAUCAAACAGGAUUAGAUACCCGCGUAGUC
rnacentral:rRNA from 1 species